UACGUAGGGGGCAAGCGUUGUCCGGAAUCAUUGGGCGUAAAGAGCGUGUAGGCGGCUCGAUAAGUCUGCUGUGAAAGUCCAGGGCUCAACCUUUGAAAGCCGAUGGAUACUGUGUGGCUAGAGUACGGAAGAGGCGAGUGGAAUUCCUGGUGUAGCGGUGGAAUGCGCAGAUAUCAGGAGGAACACCAAUCGCGAAGGCAGCUCGCUGGGACGUUACUGACACUGAGGCGCGAAAGCGUGGGGAGCGAACAGG
rnacentral:rRNA from 1 species